AUUGCUGAUUGUUUCCUCGCAGUCGCUUAAGUGACCGAGGGAGGACAUACUGCUCUUCGAGGAGCUUUCUGUUCCGGACUCACUCUUCUGUUCUUUCUUCUGCCAUCUGAACCACUUCUUUGGCAAGGACAGUGAUUUUUUUAUCUAAAAACAAACAGGCAUCAUAUUGACAUACAAGUUUGCAGGUCCUCGGAGCAGCACUGCUGUCUGGCGUAGAUUUCUUGGGUGGGGUGGGGCUCCUUGCCCUCUGCGCUGGCUGGGGAGUCUUGGACUGUCUGCCUGCAGCUGCGGUCGAGCUCCCAUCGACAUCGUCCGUAUCCAGGCAUCUCCUUCGCAGCUUGGUCCUGCCCUGAAUGCACUUUGGCCAUGAUGGAAGUGAACUCCCUGUUCUUCAC